rnacentral:snRNA from 1 species
AUACUUACCAUGAGCAGAGGAGAUACCAUGAUCAUGAAAGGUGGUUUUCCCAGAGCGAGACUCAUCCCAUUGCACUCCGGAGUGUGCUGAACCCCUCUGAUUUCCCCAAUUGUGGCAUACUCAAACUGCAUAAUUUGUGGUAGUGGGAGACUGCGUUCACAGUCUCCUC